rnacentral:lncRNA from 1 species
UGAGAUAUCAUCUUACUAUGCUUGUUCUAAUGUGAUCACUAGCUAGUUCACUUCUUACGUUAGCAUAAACAGUCGAUAUCAUAAUCGGUAUUCCUGUGAGAUGUUGCUAGCUCUCUUCUCACAACCUAAGAGAGUGUUUCGAUGUAAAAGUUUGAUAUUGUAACCAAUUCACAGUAAAUCCUCCCCACCCCCCCAAAAAAAAA